rnacentral:lncRNA from 10 species
CUUAAACGGAGUUUUGUUUUAGAACGUUAAUGGGUUGAAUGGGAGGCCCCAGCAAAGUCUGUCCACAUCCCCAAACCUGUGAGUGUGAGCUGCUUUGGAAGAAGCGUCUUUGCAUAUGUGAUCAAGUGAAGGAUCUCUAGAUGAGAUCACCCUGGAUUAUCCAGAUGGACCCUAAAUCCAGUGACAAAUGUCCUUGUGAGAGACACACAGAGGGGAAGAUGUGAAGAUGGAGGCAGAGAUUGGAGGGAUGCAGACUUAAGCUAAGGAAUGCCUGGAGCCACCAGAAACUGGAAGAGGUGAGGCAGGAUUCUUCCCUACAGCCUUUGGAGGGAAUGUGGCCCUAUUGACACGUUGAUUUUGGACUUCAUGCCUCCAGAACUGUGAAAGAGUAAAUUUCUGUUGUUUUAAGCCACGCAGUUGGUGGUCAUUUGUUACAGCAGCCCAAGGAAGCUAAUAUAACAUACUCAUCUCCUUUCACUUCACUGGAAAUAUGGAAAGCUAGGUGAAAACCAAAAAAAAGAUGGCUUUGGAUGUCCUCAUGAUUUUAGGCUAUCAGAGCCAGAAGGAGAACAUUCAUUCACCUUCUCAACAGAGCAUGCUGCUCUGUGGGAAAACAAUUUCAUCUGGUCACAGUGCCACCAAAUACUCAUCUGACCUCACCAUUGACACUCAGAGUGCCUAAGCUCUAGGCUUGUUGGGACUCUUGAAGGGAGCUGUUCUCAACGAGGAGUGAUUUUGAUCCCUAGGGGACAUUUGACAAUUUCUGGGGCAUUUGUGGUUGUCAUAACUGUGUGGGAUGGGGUUUGCCACUGAAACUGAGUGGAUAGAGUUCAGGAAUGGUGUUAAAUAUCCUAUAAUGUACAGGACAGCCCCUCACCACAAAGAAGUAUCUGCCCUAAAAUAUCAUUAGUGAUGAGUCUGAGAAACCCUGUCCUAAGGGAACAACUUCUUUUUUUUUUUUUUUUUUUUUUUUUUUUUUUUUGAGACGAGGUCUUGCUCUGUUGCCCAGGCUGGAGUGCAGUGGCAUGAUCUUGGCUCACUGCAACCUCUGCCUCCGGGGUUCAAGCGAUUCUCCUGCCUCAGCCUCCUGAGUAGCUGGGAUUACAGGCAUGUGCCACCAUUCCCGGCCAAUUUUUGUAUUUUUAGUAGAGACAGGGUUUCACCAUAUUGGCCAGGCUGGUCUCAAGCUCCCGACCUCAGGUGAUCCACUCGCCUCAGCCUCCCAAAGUGCUGGGAAUACAGGCAUGAGCCACUGCACCCAACCUGGGAACAACUUCUUUCUAAAAGAAUCUUGACACUUCUCUGUCAGGGUAGGAAAACAAGAAGAAAGAAGGAGGCACUCCACAAACCCUUCUGGACUAUUUUCUAUAAUUAUUAUUGUGGUAAGAACAGAUAACAUGAGAUCUAUCCUCUUCAGCACAAUGUCCUAUAGCCGAACUUACUUAUCUUGCAUAACUGAAAUUUUGUACCCAUUGAAGAGCAACACUCACUUCCCCCUCCCCAGCCUCUGGCAACUACCAUUCUACUCUCUGCUUCUGUUGGCUACUUUAGCUACCUCACAUAAAUGGUGGAAUCAUGCAAUAUUUGUCCUUCUGUGACUGGCUUAUUUCACUUAGCAUAAUGUCCUCAAUGCCCAUCCAUGGCAGGAUUUCCUUCUCUUUAUGGCUGAAUAAUAUUCCAUUGUAUGAAUAUAGGAUAUUUUCUUUAUCUGUUUGAUAUGGUUUGGCUGUGUCCCCACCCAAAUCUCAUCUUGAAUUCCCACAUGCUGUGGGAGGGACCCGGUGGGAGGUAAUUGAAUCAUGGGGGCAGGUCUUUCCUGUGCUGCUCUCAUGAUAGUCAGUAAGUCUCAUGAGAUCUGAUGUUUAUUAUAAGGGGGAGUUUCCCUGCACAAGCUCUCUCUUUGCCUGCUGCUAUCCAUGUAAGACGUGACUUGCUCCUCCUUGCCUUUCACCAUGAUUGUGAGGCUCCCCCAGGCAUGUGAAACUGCAAAAUAAAAUAGAACUGAACAUCAGUGAAUUUUGUACAACAAAAACAGCUUUUAAUAUGGAAUAGUCCAUGAACAUUUUAAA